UGGUCGAUGAGACCGCACCGCGAAUCUCCCGAGAACAGUCGCUUCCACGGCCUCGGAGCGGGCGAGUUGUUGAUCCCCUUGGAAAAAAGGAAAACACGCUCUCUUGUUGCGGCGACGAGUGUAAUGGCCACCGUGGGCCUAGGAUAGUAAAGGAGGUGGUUGGGAUUCUUUGAUCAAAACGCUGGCAAUCAACAAACGACUUAUCAGCUAGUUAAGAUCAGUGAAUUUAAUUCGUGUGUGUCGAACUGCCGCUUUUUCAUUUUGAUCAGUGGCUUUUGCCCGGUGAAGAGUGCGUGUACAUCAAGUAGUGCAUCAGUGUACUUAAUGUGUGCCAGCCAUUGUCGAGCGUGCAUCGUAGUGCCGGUCAUCUAAUCAUCGACCACACUGGAUAAUAUUGCUUAUUCGUUUUGUUAUUGGAUUCUAUCUUUUUAAUACACAACGCAUCAACGGUCCGAGGCGGGGAAUAAUUCGGAACAACGACUUUCCUCACUUCCACGAAAACGGCCUCCUAUUAUUAGGUUACCGUUGAAUACCAGACCGCGAUAAGCAAUCCUUAGGAAUCAAGAAACAAGAAUCCGAAAAAUCCUUAGAAUCCUUAGAAAACAACCAGGUUUCAAUCUGUCGCUUCUUCUCUGUCAGCUUACCCGUCGAAAUUACGUUUUCGAGUCACUUCACGGAACGAGAUUUGCCUAUGCAUCAAGGGAGGGAGAGAAGUUCACCCUCUAUCGACGGAAUUUUUGCAAUACACUUUUGAAUAGCCGCCACUGCUUGUGCUCGACUGAGCGCUCCGAGCUUUUCAACGGGAUACACACAAACCUGGGUACACAUGCACCCGGGUAAAGAGACAAAUCGUGGCUUAGGGCGUGAGAAAGAUGGAGU